UCAGGAAAUCCUAGUUUCAACACCAUCCAGUCAACACAAAAAUGAAUGUGAUACAGUCUUUUCACAAGGAAUAAAUAAGUUGAAAAAACACUUUACUGAAAUGUCUCUAGAAUUAUCAAAGAUUUCUCAAAACUUCAGAGCAAUGAAGAAACACAUUAAAAAACCUGAUAUUAACCACUCCAUGGAAUGUGUAACAGAAGAGCGAACUCCAAGGAUAUUUUUACAAAUCCUGAAAGAUUAUAUCAGAUUUUUGUAGCAAACACAGUGACUGUUAAUUAUUUUGGAAUUUACAGAUAAUGUAUUUGUUGUGUUUUUAUUUAUUAAUUAUUUUAUUUAUUGUAUUCAUUAUAUAAAACUACAUAUUUAUUGUUUUGAAAUGCUUAUGCUCAUACUGAUUGUACAAUGUUUGCAUAUAGAAAAUAUGCACAAAUUUGUAAACUAUACUGGGAACCCAAGAAGCUGGCAAAGAAGGG